UGCGUAGGCGGAUAUAUUAGUCAGGUGUUAAAUCCUGGGGCUCAACCUCAGGCUCGCAUUUGAAACGGUAUAUCUAGAAGGCGUUAGAGGUGAGCAGAACUCACGGUGUAGGGGUGAAAUCCGUUGAUAUCGUGGGGAAUACCAAAUGCGAAGGCAGCUCACUGGGACGUUCUUGACGCUGAGGCACGAAAGCUAGGGUAGCGAACG
rnacentral:rRNA from 1 species